AGAGCGAACGCUGGCGGCAGGCUUAACACAUGCAAGUCGAGCGGGCGUAGCAAUACGUCAGCGGCAGACGGGUGAGUAACGCGUGGGAACAUACCUUUUGGUUCGGAACAACACAGGGAAACUUGUGCUAAUACCGGAUAAGCCCUUACGGGGAAAGAUUUAUCGCCGAAAGAUUGGCCCGCGUCUGAUUAGCUAGUUGGUGAGGUAAUGGCUCACCAAGGCGACGAUCAGUAGCUGGUCUGAGAGGAUGAUCAGCCACAUUGGGACUGAGACACGGCCCAAACUCCUACGGGAGGCAGCAGUGGGAAUAUUGGACAAUGGGCGCAAGCCUGAUCCAGCCAUGCCGCGUGAGUGAUGAAGGCCCUAGGGUUGUAAAGCUCUUUUGUGCGGGAAGAUAAUGACGGUACCGCAAGAAUAAGCCCCGGCUAACUUCGUGCCAGCAGCCGC
rnacentral:rRNA from 1 species